rnacentral:rRNA from 1 species
AGCGAACGCUGGCGGCAGGCCUAACACAUGCAAGUCGAACGAACCUUUCGGGGUUAGUGGCGGACGGGUGAGUAACACGUGGGAACGUGCCUUUAGGUUCGGAAUAACUCAGGGAAACUUGUGCUAAUACCGAAUGUGCCCUUCGGGGGAAAGAUUUAUCGGCUUUAGAGCGGCCCGCGUCUGAUUAGCUAGUUGGUUGAGGUAAUGGCUCACCAAGGCGACGAUCAGUAGCUGGUCUGAGAGGAUGAUCAGCCACAUUGGGACUGAGACACGGCCCAAACUCCUACGGGACGGAGCAGUGGGGAAUCUUGCGCAAUGGGCGAAAGCCUGACGCAGCCAUGCCGCGUGAAUGAUGAAGGUCUUAGGAUUGUAAAAUUCUUUCACCGGGGACGAUAAUGACGGUACCCGGAGAAGAAGCCCCGGCUAACUUCGUG